CUUAGUUUUUCCACUGAUCAAGGGAAAACAAUCAAUUAUUUUAACAGCAGAACCUCGAUGACAGAACCACUAAAACAGACGUUUAGCUACUACUCUUCAUACAAUGGAA